rnacentral:rRNA from 1 species
CGAAAGCCUGACGGAGCAACGCCGCGUGAGGGACGAAGGCCUCUGGGCUGUAAACCUCUUUUCUCAAGGAAGAAGAUAUGACGGUACUUGAGGAAUAAGCCACGGCUAAUUCCGUGCCAGCAGCCGCGGUAAUACGGGAGUGGCAAGCGUUAUCCGGAAUUAUUGGGCGUAAAGCGUCCGCAGGCGGCUUUUCAAGUCUGCUGUUAAAGCGUGGAGCUUAACUCCAUCAUGGCAGUGGAAACUGAAAGGCUUGAGUAUGGUAGGGGCAGAGGGAAUUCCCGGUGUAGCGGUGAAAUGCGUAGAUAUCGGGAAGAACACCAGUGGCGAAGGCGCUCUGCUGGGCCAUUACUGACGCUCAUGGACGAAAGCCAGGGGAGCG